GUCCCUUUUAUAGAAUAAGGGCUCGCUCCUCAAUACAUGAAUGAUAAGCUAGAUUUGAUGCUCUCUAAUGAUAGUGAGGGAGUCCCUUUUAUAGAAUAAAGGUUCGCUCCUUAAUACAUAAGUGAUGGGCUAGAGUUGAGGCUCGCGGUGAGACGGUUGCUCAGCAGGCGGCGAUGCGCUCUAAUGAUGGUGAGGGAGUCCCUUUUAUAGAAUAAGGGCUUGCUCUACAAUACAUAAGUGAUGGGUUAGGAGUGAUGCUCGCGGCGAGACGGUUGCUCAGCAGGCAGCGAUGCUCUCUAAUGAUGGUGAGGGAGUCCCUUUUAUAGAAUAAGGGCUCGGACCUUAAUACAUGAAUAAUGGGUUAAGUCCCCUGAGUAUUUUUCACGAGGCUCAGUUGCGGAAGCGAGACUCAAAUGUAAUUAUGUAAUAAAUGAAGGGGCAAAUAUGUAAUAAGUGAGGAGCCCUUAGUCUAUAAAAGGGACUCCUCACCCUCACAAUCCUCAAGCCUCAUAUCCCUAAACAGAGGCUCUCAUAUUCAGAGCUUUCAUCCUUACAGAAAAGCUCUCUCGAACCCUCUUUUUCUCUGGGGGACUCCCUCUCACGCUUGUAAUCUAUACAUUCAUACAGAGAAAUACAAUCAACAUCAGUGUGGACGUAGCCCAAACAUUGGGGUGAACCACGAUACAUCUUGUGUCCUUUACUUUCUUGCAGAUUCACAGUCGGAUUUACGUUGUUCCAAGACCUCCGGUUUUGUGCUUCAACAUAAAGAAAUACGAAUAAAUAAGGACCAAGUUACCAGCAAUACUAGCUAGGAGAAAGUGCUAAUGCGAGAUUAAGUGUGAAAUACACAACCAGAGCAUAAAUAGCCUAAAUGCAGUCAAGCAGGACAAGUACUAAUUAUACAACACCUAAGGGUUAUCCUACAUUUAUGAUGUUUUGUUAGAACCACCGUUGAAAUCCUAGUGAGCCACCAAAGCACUUCUACCUAAAACCUGGAGGGGCGCAAAACAUAAAGUGUGAGUGGGCAAAAAUAAAGCUUUUCAAAAUCAUUUCAUUUCUUAAAAAUUCUAAUACCUCGCCGUAAAACCUGUAUAAUUUCCUAGAAAAUAUAAUAUAUGCUAUAUCAGAAAUCAUGCUUAGGAUGAAAAUUCAUAGAAAUAUACCAUGCCAAAGUAUCUCAAUGAAAUGCUAUAAGUAAUCCAAUUAAAAUGUAUCAAUGCCAGACAUCAUAUCAGCCAUAUCCACCUAACGUGACUUGCAUGGCUGAAUCUAUAGCUCAUAACCAAUCCCAAUCGUAUCAAAUCUUGCACACGAGUCGGAACCAUUUAAAGUGGUCUAUACGACAAGACUAGGUGUAAAAUGAAUAUGUUCUAGUGCUACGAUCACGUGAAGGCUAUGCGAAUGAUCGGCGGCCAUUUACUAGUUGGAACCACCUAAAAUGGUUUGUACGACAAGCCUGUGCACCUAACUUGGAUCCAAGGUGAGCAUAUGGUGUGGGAGGUGAACAUCAAGUGAAGGAUUGUACCCUAACUCUGGCGGGAGCACUAACAUUGGGGUGCAGGUUUAUGAGCUCUCAAUACAUCACAUCAUAUCUCGCAUAACUGAAGUAAUCUCAUAUCUUUAAUUUAUGAACUUACCUGGUACUUACCUGUGCGUCCGCAGCACCAAUCAUAAAUAUAUGCAACUACUAAUGCAUAAAUAAAAUAGGCAGAUACUUUGCAUGGCAUUUCAAAACGUAUAAUUAUUCAAAUUCGUUUUCUGGGAAAAAUCUCAAGUAUAUAGGUAUAUACGGAAAACCAAAAGCCCACUUAUUGGUAUGUCGAAGGGUCGUAACCCCCGAGCCUCGAUUGAUGGCGCUCGUCCUCAGGAUAGGUUUCACCUAUAUGCGAAAUAACUAAAUAAACAUUAUUUAGAGCACAUAUACAAAACUAGGAAAUAACUUCUCAUACAUUGCUUAAAUGGGGUAUUUGAAUAAACCACAAUGACCUACUCAACCUCAGAAACAUCCACAUAUUUUUAGAAAAAAUUUCCGACCACCCACGCGCUCUCACACGCUGGCCAAGGCACGGCCAGACACGCGGCUCACGCGCAGGCACGUGCUUGGCACACCAAAUGGAUUCCCUAACGGCGUUAGAGAAUAUUCCGUUAAAUAUAAGCAUAUACCGUUAGAAUUACCUGACGGCGUUAGAAUAUUCCGUCAACUUUGAUGGAAUAUUCUCCUUAUUCUUCCUUAGUUCGUUGGAGUCCAGCGCUGGUGCCGCUGCGAUCGCCGGAAACUGGAAAAUCUUAAAACUCAAUAUCUUUUUCAUUUCUCAACCAAAAUUCAUGAAACUUAAACCAAAAUGAAGCUUACAACGAGUAGAACAAAACCUUACCAAUUUUAAGCCUUAAAAUCCAUGGAAUCUCGCCGGAGAAACCUCGAUAAUCUGGCCAAAUUUGAAACUCGUUGAACUAAGCUUCUCGACGUCUAAAACACUCCAACUUUAUUCCCCA
rnacentral:lncRNA from 1 species